GCUUGCUGCUUUGCUGACGAGUGGCGGACGGGUGAGUAAUGUCUGGGAAACUGCCUGAUGGAGGGGGAUAACUACUGGAAACGGUGGCUAAUACCGCAUAACGUCGCAAGACCAAAGAGGGGGACCUUCGGGCCUCUUGCCAUCAGAUGUGCCCAGAUGGGAUUAGCUUGUUGGUGAGGUAACGGCUCACCAAGGCGACGAUCCCUAGCUGGUCUGAGAGGAUGACCAGCCACACUGGAACUGAGACACGGUCCAGACUCCUACGGGAGGCAGCAGUGGGGAAUAUUGCACAAUGGGCGCAAGCCUGAUGCAGCCAUGCCGCGUGUAUGAAGAAGGCCUUCGGGUUGUAAAGUACUUUCAGCGGGGAGGAAGGUGUUGUGGUUAAUAACCGCAGCAAUUGACGUUACCCGCAGAAGAAGCACCGGCUAACUCCGUGCCAGCAGCCGCGGUAAUACGGAGGGUGCAAGCGUUAAUCGGAAUUACUGGGCGUAAAGCGCACGCAGGCGGUCUGUCAAGUCGGAUGUGAAAUCCCCGGGCUCAACCUGGGAACUGC
rnacentral:rRNA from 1 species